rnacentral:rRNA from 1 species
UACGGAGGGGGCUAGCGUUGUUCGGAAUUACUGGGCGUAAAGCGCACGUAGGCGGCUUUGUAAGUUAGAGGUGAAAGCCCGGAGCUCAACUCCGGAACUGCCUUUAAGACUGCAUCGCUAGAAUCAUGGAGAGGUGAGUGGAAUUCCGAGUGUAGAGGUGAAAUUCGUAGAUAUUCGGAAGAACACCAGUGGCGAAGGCGACUCACUGGACAUGUAUUGACGCUGAGGUGCGAAAGCGUGGGGAGCAAACAGG